CGUAAAGUGCCGAGAUCCCGACGGAGUGCCGGGAAUUUCCGAAUUUCAAUUUUUACCGCGUGGCGAAGAGUGGAGAAGCCGAGGGAGAAGCAAGGAAGAAUUAAAAUGGAGGACAUUUUUUAUCAAUCUUUAUACCUUUAUUGGAAGGUAAUAUGCUUUAUUUAAUAUCAAACCUUGUAGUAGAGUACUUAGAUUGCCAAUAUACAUGGAAGUUUAAGACAUCGAGCCCUAAUUUAAUGCGAUAUUUCGACAUAAAGUUUGCUUUUGCUUUGCACGUGGUUCGAUUUAUGGGCGAUUGUCGAACUUUAAACCGUGUUUUUAUUCAUAACUAUUGUCGACCAAGUGAGUAAAAAGACUAACUAAGAUCUAGAAUUGUUUAAGCUGUCGAAAAGUUGUUGUCUAACUUUAUAUCUCUUAGUUCUUGCCGAAAAUUUUUUAAAUAUACAUUUUAUUGAUUCUUGCUUGCAAAACAAAGUUUAAUUAAUAAUUACAAAUAAAACUAAGUGAAAAUUGCUACAAUGAGGCAAAAGCCAGAAUUGUGUUUCUUUAGUGAAAAUCUAGGAGGUUUGGUCAUAGUUAGGUGGGGCAAGCUUCUCAGUAAGCGGGCUAGUAAAGUUUGUAGGCUGAGGGUGGUUUGAAAAAAGAUUGUUCUUUUGAGGUCUUUUGAAGCACAUUUAUGCACAUAUCAACGGCCUGCCCGGGGGGUACACCCCCGGGACAACCGGGGGGAAACGAGGGGGAAUUUGGUAUUUUAGCCGUGUAUUCUGCCCGUGAACCCCGGGGAAAUUACAAACUUCGCAAUAAUAGGACGACAGGGGGAGGGGAAGNNNNNNNNNNNNNNNNNNNNUGAAAUCUGAUCCAACUUGCUUGAAUUGUAACUCGACACCAGAUUAUAGAGUAGAACGUCACGACAUAUAUAUAAUUCAAGAGUUCUCUUUAUAAUUACGAUUUCUUGUUGCAAAUUUAACAGUAAAUUUCAUCACCCAAAGUUGCAAUUUUAAAACGCUACAAACACUCUCCUUUCCCACCCCUCUCACAGUUACAAUUAAAUUUACCUCCCAGAAUCUGGGAGGCACGUGACCAGCCGCAGCCAGGGUCUCUCCCAGAUGACAGACGGAGAGACCCUGGGAACGAGGUUGGAAAAAGAUUGUUCUUUUGAGGUCUUUUGAAGCACAUUUAUGCACAUAUCAACGGCCUGCCCGGGGGGUACACCCCCGGGACAACCGGGGGGAAACGAGGGGGAAUUUGGUAUUUUAGCCGUGUAUUCUGCCCGUGAACCCCGGGGAAAUUACAAACUUCGCAAUAAUAGGACGACAGGGGGAGGGGAAGUGGGGGACUUUGACAUGACAAUUUGAAUUUUAUAAAUGAAGUGAACAAUUGGUGCAAACUCAAAAUUGCAGGCUCACGAAGAAAAAUAUCGAUCGCCAACUUAUUAUUUAUGAUAUUUUGUAGUGGUCUUGCUAAAAUUUGAAUAAAUAAAUACAGAAUACAUGAGUGCCAUUGUGAUACCCCAGUUUGUAUGAUAAUUUCAGGGUGUUAGCCAGAAAAAAAACGUUUUGUCCGUUCAAUGUAAAUUGGGAAAUUUUUUUUUGACCGAUCAAAGUCCUUGUGUAGGAAUAAAUAGUGUUUUUUCCAACGUGUUUCUUCUUAGAUGCAAACAACAGUGGCUUGGUUUUUUCUAUUUCAUUUCCGGUGAAUGAACACGGAUGCACACCGAUGCAGGCACUUUGUUUUGUACAUUUCAUUUCAGUGAAUACCUCUAUGGUGAAUACACACCCAAUAUGAAUGAAACGUGAUACAUUUUGAGAAAAUAGUUAAUGGAAAAAGUAAAUAAAACGUUCUUUGAUAUAAUAAUAUAAAAUCAAAUGCAAUGCACUUUCUCAUCAGAAAAAAUGAAAAUCUUCCAGUAGACCCAGUUGGGAAAGCCCCUUAACUACUUCAAUUGGGAAGAGUCCGUCAAAUGGACGGACAGUAUAUGGGCUAGCUAACACCCUGAAUUUUUAAUUGUUUGUAUGCUAUUUAUAAUAUGAACUACUUUAUUCUAAGCCCCAGGGGGGAGGGCAGUUUGACUUACACAUUUCCCGGGGGAGGGAGGGGGAAUUAAUGCAUUAGAAUCAUGUUUUUUCAAAGUCCUGGGGUGUCCCGGGGGUGUACCCCCAGGGCAGGCCGUUGAUAUGUGCAUUACUCCAGGCUGAAAAAUGUGCACCAGUAGCAGUUGUUAAUCCUUUUUUGGACAUGGGCUGGCAAGGAUUCAGAGAAUGUUAAAAAAAUUAAAGGGACAGUACCGGGUAUUUGUUAAAUUUAAAAGCAUAUUACAGGUAAACUACGUGAAGCGUUCCUCUUUCGACUUCGUAACUCAUUUGGAAUUUUCCUCAUUAGCUUUGCAAAUUUGAAAAACUCUUUGCAAAUCCCUUGAGGGAAUUUGCAAUGUUCCUAUCGGCUGUUGCAAUAUUCCAAACUUCAUUUUAAAUUUUCCUAACUUCCUGUUUUAAUUUCCUAACUUCCUGUUCUGUUCUGAGCGUUGUUAUUUGUCGAUUAUUUUUGUUAGCCAAUUGCAACGCCCAGAACAGAACAGGAAAUUAGGAACUUGUAACAGGAAGUUAAGAACUUCUAACAGGAACUGAGGAAAUUUUUUUUGGCUUUUAGCAACAUUGCAAAUUCCCUCAAGGGAUUUGCAAGGGAGUUUUUUAAAUUGCAAAAGUAAUGAGGAAAAUUGCAAUCAAUUUCGAAACUCAAAAGAGGAACGCUUCACAUAGUUUACCUGUAACUCAAUUUAUUGGGACAGCAGAUGCCCAAAGUCGAAAUGAGGUUGAAAAAAAUUCCAAUCAAAUUUUAAUGUUUUCAAUUGGUUGGCAUUUUUCUGAUCAAUUUUGAACAUUACAAAAAAUAUGUGGUUCAGGUUUCAUAUCCUGAAAAAAGUAGGAUUGGUGGCUCGAUUGGAAUAAAACAAAUUUUCUUCAAAUAUUUUUUGGCUUUUGAGGGUCAGCAAUUGACCAUUUGCGUAAUAGACUAAAUUUUGAUCUAGACAAAACUUUCAUCACAGCUUGAAAGAGCAUCACAAAAUUAGUAAUAUUCCAAAGUUUCGUUCCAAAAUGUUGUAAAAUGCGGAAAAUAUAGCCUUGCGAAAUUUGCACUUUUCAGUCAUUUUAGAUUACAAACCGGAAAUUGACAGCCUCAAAGGGUUUGGGGCUGUCAAUUUCCCGUUUGUAAUCUAAAAUGACUGAAAAUUGCAAAUUUCGCAAGGCUAUAUUUUCCGCAUUUUACGACAUUUUGCAACGAAACUUUGGAAUAUUACUAAUUUUGUGAUGCUCCUUCAAGCUGUGAUGAAAUUUUUGUCUAGACUUGUUUAGUUCAAAAUUUAGUCUAUUACGCAAAUGGUCAAUUGCUGUGAUCAGUUUGCAUAUUGCCACAACAUAUAAACAUUUCAAGAAGCAGUAACUGUGGGCAACAGACAGUAUUUUUGUUACAUCACAGGUUAUUUAAGUUCAUCAUAAAGCAAACAACAAAAAAUAGGGUAGGCAGGUAAGCAAACAACCCACAUCUAGAAAAAAACAUUAGAGCAGAGAGAAUAGGGUUGUCUGGAAAACCAGCUAGAACCAUAGGAUAUUGUUUUGUUUCAGACUCCGAUAUUCAUAUAUUUGGGAUUUUCAUCUUGGUAGCCAAGCUAUUCACACCCUUGGUAAAAUUCUCAUAAUUUUGUGUAGAUGUACAGUGCAAGUUCCAAGAAUGUUGCAAGACUCAUGAUUCAAUAUGAAAAGUGGACACAUUCCAAGAUUCUGAAUUAGAGGUAAAUGAUUUUUCUUCUAAUUAUUUCUAACCUCCUUUAUUUCUUGGACAAUUUUCUUUGUAAUAUAUAUUAAUUUGUUUCAUGUUCUCAAUAGUGAGUUUUUUAAAUUUUCUAGACGUGUGUUGCAAUUUCAAAGAAUGUCUCAAGAUGUUGGCUGCAGUGUUUUUGAUCACAAAAAUGAACACUGUCAUUGGAAAGUAUAUAAAAGGUCCUAAUAUUUUCCUGUCUUAUCUUACAUGAAAUGUUUUGAACAUUAUAUGAUUGCCUGUGAUCAAUAGUUUCAAAAAUUCCAGCAUAUUAUUGUAAAAAUAGCUUGACUAUGUCACUUAUGACACAAAAUACAACAAAAGUAAUAAAUGCAAUCUUUACACCUAAAUAUGGUGAGUGCACAAUAAUUGCACUCUUUUUAUUCUAUUAUUACACCACUAU
rnacentral:lncRNA from 1 species